rnacentral:lncRNA from 1 species
AAUUUUCUUUCGAGGAUUUUUUUUUUUUAUCAAUUUAAGGGUGAUUUGUAGUUGCUGUGACCACUUGAAAAUAGUGACUUUCUAAAGCAGUUUUAUUUCAUUUUAAUAAAUAACACGUUUUUAUUCUUUUCUCAUAUAUUUAUUCUGAUACAAUUUUCCCAACCCCCUCUUCCCCCAGCCUCUUCCCUCCCCCAUCACCACUCUCUUCCAUAUCCCCACCCCUCUCCUGGGGAAAAGGAUCGACAUUUUUAUUGCAUGUAUUGAUAUCUUCACAAACAGGUCAUUUUGGCCUUGAUCACAUUUAUAGCUUUCAGGUAAAAACAAAAAACAAAAAACAAAACCAUAAGCUUCUCCAUAUAGCAAAAAUAUUCAGGUUGAAUAAUAAAUCUGUCACCACAAUAAAUCCUCUCAUUCUAGUUCAAAGGAUACGUCUGUGAUAUUUGCUCUGUUGCUUAAUGCUUUGUGCAGCUCUCUCGAUGAAAUGUUAUUACUAUCUUUUCUUCAUAUGGAAAUAGUCUCUGUAACACAAGGUGAUGAGGAAUGAAGAUAAAUUUCCAAAAAAAAAAAAAAUCUGGAAUGAGAUAAAUGGUAUAUUUGUUCCAUGUACAAAUGUUGAUGUCUCAAAACAAGACAAGUGAUGUUUUAUAAAAUCAAAAUAAGUGUGAUGGCCAUAACCCAAGUAUUCCAUUUUAAAUUAAGACGGGACCCAACCCCGCAAUCACGUGAACAUGCCUCUCUUAUCUCACCAUGCCUCUCUUAUCUCACCAUAAUCCUACCCCAGUUUCCCUAACCAAGGGCGGUGCAUAGCGACAAGUGAAGACUGGAAAGACUUUGUUGAAAGAAGCCUUGCCAAGACUUGGUUUUGGCCUAUCAUGAGACUUGUUAAAGAUGAUAAUAAAGGGAAAUGUAUGGAAGUCUAUUAAUUUAUGUCUGAGAUACUUGAUGUAGAAAGAAUAAAAUUUGAAGAAAGCACCUAUAUGCAGUGAUGAAUGAAACUUCAAAUACUUUGCUACGAAACUAUGACUGCUUAUCAGAACACUGGUGAUGGGUAAUAUUCACAUCUUAUUGAAGUUUGAGUGUAUUAUAGGUCAAAAAUGCAUUUGAAAGGGUAAAAUUGGAUUUAAACACUCCUAAAAAGCCAUUUUUAUUAUCAAGCCAAAGGUUUUAUAAUUUUAUACUUUAAUCUUAAUUUUGUAGAGCGAUCAAAGGUUACAUGAUGAAAUUUGUGUUUUGCUAAUGUCAAAGAAAUAAAAUUCAUUUGUGACAGAGCAAGAAAUAAGGCUAUCUGUUACCUCACACUACUUGUGAGGAGGCUGAGUCUGAAGAAAGACCCUGGGUUUGCCAAAAGUGCAGAUAAGUUUGGAAAACCAAAAAUGUAUCAGCUGUGCAUAUAAAAACAGUACAGGGUGAAGGACAAGGGCAAGAAGAACAAGAAUGAAAGGGAAUUAGAAUAUAUGAUAGGGAAAUGAUGCAGAUUCGAAGGAAACUAGUUUCUCCAAACUAACUGGUAGUAUCCUGUUCCACAGACAUUGGCGACAAUGUCUAAUCAAACAUAGCCAGUCCUUGGUGAUACUUUAUUUCUAAUAUAUCAUAAAUGAUCAUUCAUCUCAAUGUGAACUGGCUCUUUAUUAAUAUGUAAUUAUAACUAUUCUUAUAACAUGUGAGUAGACAAUGCUACUGGACACACCUACAAAAAUUGCUGCAUACAGCAGUUCUUCAAAAGUAAGGACCACUAGUUUUUUAUUAGAUUUAUUAAAAUGGUGUAGAGUUACUCAUAUUUCUUUUCUUUUUUAUUUGCUUAUUUGUUUUUAGCAACAUAUUUAUUUUUAAUUUAUGUACACUGGCAUUUUGCCUAUAUGUACGUCUGUGUGAGAGUCUGAGAUCCCUUAAAAUGAAGUUGCAGACGGUUGUGGGCUACCAUAUGGGUGCUGGGAAUUAAACCCUGAUCCUUUGGAAGAGCAUCUGGUGCUCUUAACCAUUGAGCCAUCUCUCCAAGCCCUAUGCAUAUUUCUUAAGCAGAACGAAUGGGUUUUGUCAAAACAGAAGUUAAACUUUUGUCAGAUUAAAAGGAGGUCUCUUUAAAGAGAAUUCACAUUUGUAGAGGCAAAUAUAUUUUCCUAAAAGAUUUUCUAGUUUACAACUAGACUGUGGCAAAACCCUCAGAAAUGGGAAACAUAAUUUUUAAGGAAGUAAUCACAUACUUCAUUUGAGAGAGCCAAAACCGGUUUGCCCAAUGUAUAGUGUCAUUUAUUUUUAGUAACUUAUUUUUAGUAAUUUAGUGAAGGCAUUUGUUUCUCAGUAUUUAAAAGUAAAAAUUGCUUGCUGAACUCCUUUAAGUUGUACUGCCAAUGUCUUAUACAAAAUUCUAGAGAAAACAUGCAGUUCUGAAUUGAUGAAAGUAUGAUAUUCUGAUAUAUAAAUUAAAAUAUUGGAUGUAGGAAGAUUAAAUAGCAUCUUAUAUGCAAACUAUUCACACAGCAAAAGUAGCAUGUUUUCCAUAUAUUUCUAUUGCAAAGUUCCUAUAUAUAUUAACCAGAUAGGCUCACAGAUAAAAGUAUGACAAUGUACAUUCAUAGUGUUCCUCAGUGUAAUCGUAAGAUGCACAUCCCCAAAACAACAUAAAUCAAAAUGAUUUUGCCCUCCCAAUCAACAACAGCCUUCAGGGUCAGUGUCAAGUUAAUAUAACUAUUCAAAAUGGUGAUUUAUUUCUUCUUCGCAACUGCAAUCUCAUUUUGGGAGUUAGCCAAAAUUAAUUUCAAGCCAUAUUUCCUCAAUUUGAUAAAUGGUCAGGUUAGAGCCAGGUGUGUAGCUCAUAUGCUAUCCCUAAAGAUCUACAUAUGAUCUGAAAGCAUCAACAAAUACAGUUUCAUAGAGUCUGCCUAUGCAGAAUGAAAGCAGUAUGGAUUUUACAUUAAAAGGGUGAAUGGCCGCUAGACGUAAAAUAUAAAAUACUUGUAGUUUCUAAGAGGCAAAAAUAACAAUGUCCCUGUAGCGAUGUUGCACAUUUUUUAAAUGGGAUGAAUGGUUGUGGGUUUUUUUUUUUUUGAGUAAAUGGUGUUGAGUUUUGAUUGCUUAGAGGAAGUUGUAACAUGGAUAAUGGCAAAAAGUGGGUUAUCUUUAUAUUAGCUGUUAUUAAAAGUAUACAAGUAAAAGCCUAUUACAUUAUUUUGUCAAACUCUAUACUAAAAAUGAAUUUGACCAUUAUUAUUUUUACCUGCAUCUCAGUGUUUUAUGUUAAGCUUGACUGGGCUUCUAGAAAGAUGACAAAGAUCCUUUGUUAACAAAAGAAAGAGAGAGAGAAAGGGCAAUAUAGAGGGAGGGAGAGAGGAGGAAGAAAGGUAUGGGAUUUUCCCGAACAAUAUUACUUUUUUAGUCAGUUGAUUAUAGAUUGUUAACUUCAUCAUACAUCUGAAUGUGAACUCGAUGUGAGAAAAUGCUCAGUAGAAAACUUGACCUUGCCAGAGAACCUCUCAAGCAUUUUAUUAGAAAUGGUAGUCACUUUGUAAGUGAGCAGUCAUGGGUGUUAUAAAAAGAUUUUGGGUUUUAGUUCAAGAUAGUCUUUUUUCCCCUUUAGGUCAGAUAUUCUAGAUUUGUGUGGGUCAUGACCCCUUUUGAGGGAGCAAAUAACCCUUUCAUAGUAGUCAUCUGAGUCCAUCAGAAAACACGGAUAUUUACAUUACGAUUCAUAACAGAAGAAAAUGAGUUAUGAAGCUGCAGUGAAAGUAAUUGUAUGGCUGGGAGUCAUCACAACAGGCAGUACUGUACUCAUGGGUCGCAGCAUUAGGAAGGUUGGGAAUCACUGCUUUAGGUUGCAACGUAUUAUAAUCAUUCAACUGACGUCAGUUUCUAAGUCUCCCCAGUAAGUGAGGUUAUGUCUGUUAAACCUGAAACAGCUUGGAAAACCUAUCCAAGGGAUUUUCUCUUCAUCAACUCUGCACACCAUGUUUAUGU